UCAGGGAGACAGGUGGUUGGCAUGGUUGUCGUCAGCUCGUGUCGUGAGAUGUUGGGUUAAGUCCCGCAACGAGCGCAACCCCUAUUGCUAGUUACCAUCAUUAAGUUGGGGACUCUAGCGAGACUGCCAGUGAUAAACUGGAGGAAGGUGGGGAUGACGUCAAAUCAUCAUGCCCCUUAUGACCUGGGCUACAAACGUGAUACAAUGGCUGGAACAAAGGGAGGCGAAGGGUGACCUGGAGCGAAACUCAAAAAAACAGUCUCAGUUCGGAUUGAAGUCUGCAACUCGACUUCAUGAAGUUGGAAUCGCUAGUAAUCGCUGAUCAGCAGGCAGCGGUGAAUACGUUCCCGGGCCUU
rnacentral:rRNA from 1 species